UAUGCACGCUGGCGGCGUGCUUAACACAUGCAAGUCGAACGGAAAGGCCCAAGCUUGCUUGGGUGCUCGAGUGGCGAACGGGUGAGUAACACGUGGGUGAUCUGCCCUGCACUUUGGGAUAAGCCUGGGAAACUGGGUCUAAUACCGGAUAGGACCAUCGUUUAGUGUCGGUGGUGGAAAGUUUUUCGGUGUGGGAUGAGCUCGCGGCCUAUCAGCUUGUUGGUGGGGUAAUGGCCUACCAAGGCGUCGACGGGUAGCCGGCCUGAGAGGGUGUACGGCCACAUUGGGACUGAGAUACGGCCCAGACUCCUACGGGAGGCAGCAGUGGGGAAUAUUGCACAAUGGGCGCAAGCCUGAUGCAGCUACGCCGCGUGGGGGAUGACGGCCUUCGGGUUGUAAACUCCUUUCGCCAAGGACGAAGCGUUUUGUGACGGUACUUGGAGAAGAAGCACCGGCUAACUACGUG
rnacentral:rRNA from 1 species